UACAGAGGGUGCGAGCGUUAAUCGGAAUUACUGGGCGUAAAGCGCACGUAGGUGGCGACGUAAGUCGGGUGUGAAAGCCCCGGGCUCAACCUGGGAAUUGCAUUCGAGACUGCAUUGCUGGAGUACGGAAGAGGAAGGCGGAAUUCCCGGUGUAGCGGUGAAAUGCGUAGAUAUCAAGAGGAACACCUGAGGUGAAGACGGGUUGCUGGGCUGACACUGACGCUGAGGCGCGAAAGCCAGGGGAGCAAACGGG
rnacentral:rRNA from 1 species